GAAGCCCAAAUGCGAGUACAUUUUGUGGUCUGAUGCCUUUCUUCCAUUAUUAUUUUUGAGAGAAACAAAUUUGAAAUUAAUUUCAACAACUGUGCGGGUCCCCUAGAGGUCUAGGCAGUGUGAGGGGCUCAUAGUGGGUGUGUGUGGCAAGUGGGGCGCCCACAGAAGAUUGCAUAAGCCCAUCAACCAUCCAUCGACUCGAGACACUCGCCAGUCGCCAGUCGCCAGUCGCCGUGCUGCCUCAUUAGAGCUAAUCAAACUGAAUGCUUUAAUCAAAUUUUCACUUUCAAUUCGAUUUCGAUUCGAUGGAAAGCACAAAUACGGGCGUGUGGUGCAGAGGAGACCGCAGAAAAUGGCCAAACAACGAGUGAGGAAAAUGAAUGCGGAGAAAUUAGCAAAACGUGAAGCAGAAACCGCAAAAGAAGAGGCCCACAGCCGCGGCGGUGACAGGCGUGGGAGAGUACUGCCAGAGAUCUUAGGGAAUUGGCCGACGAUUAAGCAGAGCAGAUGCCCAAGCUCGAGAGUCAAAGACGGACAUCAGUAUCGACACAAUGGGGUUUCAGAAUCAGACAAAUACGUGUACCAAAGGAGGCAGGCGACCCACAAAUCAGACAAAUGUCUGUGCCCCAGGACCUAGUGCCUUAUCGGGAUGUUACGCUCGCGUGAUUUGUUUGAUUUGCGAUUGUUUAAACAUGGCUCUGUCUCGGGCCAACUCAAGCGGAAGGAGCCCAAGCCCUCUCACGCACCAAAACAGUUUCAGGGCUUACGUUACGUGACCUGGGACCUCAAAUCGGGACACAAUUAACUGAUUAGCUCGCCGGCAAUUGUCAGUUCUUUGGGCCAAAAGCGGCAGCAGCAGCAAACCAAAGAGUCUCUAAGGCUCCCUACGAGGCUUACCUGAGGGAGUGCUCAAGUGAACACCUGGCCAAGAACCAUUGCCUGCUUGAUGGCCAACACUUCACUGCUGAGUGGCCAACACUCACACUGAAGCGGCAACAAAUGACUUUUGUAUGGAUUGGCAUCAGCGGACAAUAAAAAUUAAAUCGCAUUCGUUGCGCCGCAGGACAGGAAACGGAAACGAACGACAAUCGAAGAAGCAGCUCCUGCGGUGUCUUUGUGCCGCAAAAACCUUGCCUCCUUGAAUGAACCAACAAAUUUCCUUUCAUUCAUUGUUUAUUUGAAAAUACUUCCAAUACUUCAAGCUGAGAGAGAGUCCAAGGCAUCGACUGACAGAUGGUUUUUGGAAGAGGCUACAGAUCUCUACAUAUAAAUAUAUUUUUAAAAAACUCCUAAAGCACUCUUCCAACAAGUGUAAAUCGUUUCAGAGGCAAACAAUUUAUUUUUUCAAAGUUUAAUUGUUGUUUAGAAAACUCUUCCUUUGCGCACACAAAACAAAAACGUAAAGACAAAUAUAAUUUAAGCAAAAACAUUUAUGUGACAAUGGAUUUGAUGUUCUCAGACUUUUGUUUUGUAAAGUACAAUAAAAAUAUGAGUUUUUCAUUA